ensembl:lncRNA
GUGAGUGUCCAUCGGCCCCGUCUUUAUACCUGUUAAGGGUAAAACUUCCAAAAGCAUCACCAAACAGUUGUAGAGAUCAAAGAAGGAGGAAAAAUGGCCUCUCUUCAAUUUUAGCCCCUUCCUCCGUACAGAACAGCUUCAAGUUCAGGACUUUGACUUGGCCAUUACAAAACAUAAACUCUUAUUCUUCUUCUUUUACCAACCUUUGGGAGAUUGAUUUGUGUUUUUGGGGGUUGUGGUCUUGCUGCAUGACCCACGUGUCUUGAGAUUCACUUCAGACAGACAUCCUCACAUUUUCUUUUGGAAUUUGCUGGGAUAAUUCAUAAUGCAUUGAGCUGUCCAGGCCCAGCUGCAAAACAGACCCCAACCAUGAUCCUCCCAUCCCCUCGUGUCACAGAUGGUAUAAGGUUCUUAUGCUUGUUUCACAGAUGGAAUAAGGUUCUUAUGCUUGUGUCACAGAUGGAAUAAGGUUCUUAUGAUUGUGUCACAGAUGGAAUAAGGUUCUUAUAAUUGUUUCACAGAUGAUAUAAGGUUCUUAUGCUUGUGUCACAGAUGGUAUAAGGUUCUUAUGCUUGUUUCACAGAUGGAAUAAGGUUCUUAUGCUUGUUUCACAGAUGGUAUAAGGUUCUUAUGCUUGUUUAUCAGAUGGUAUAAGGUUCUUAUGAUUGUUUCACAGAUGGUAUAAGGUUCUUAUGCUUGUUUAUCAGAUGGUAUAAGGUUCUUCUGCUUGUGUCACAGAUGGUAUAAGGUUCUAAUGCUUGUGUCACAGAUGGUAUAAGGUUCUUAUGCUUGUUUCACAGAUGGAAUAAGGUUCUUAUGCUUGUUUCACAGAUGGUAUA